rnacentral:rRNA from 1 species
GUCGAGCGCAGGAGCAAGCUGAUCCCCUUCGGGGGUGACGCUUGUGGAAUGAGCGGCGGACGGGUGAGUAACACGUGGGCAACCUGCCUGUAAGACUGGGAUAACCCCGGGAAACCGGGGCUAAUACCGGAUAAUACUUUCUUUUGCAUAAAGGAAAGUUGAAAGGCGGCUUCGGCUGUCACUUACAGAUGGGCCCGCGGCGCAUUAGCUAGUUGGUGAGGUAACGGCUCACCAAGGCGACGAUGCGUAGCCGACCUGAGAGGGUGAUCGGCCACACUGGGACUGAGACACGGCCCAGACUCCUACGGGAGGCAGCAGUAGGGAAUCUUCCGCAAUGGACGAAAGUCUGACGGAGCAACGCCGCGUGAGUGAUGAAGGUUUUCGGAUCGUAAAACUCUGUUGUUAGGGAAGAACAAGUUGGGUAGUAACUGACCCAACCUUGACGGUACCUAACCAGAAAGCCACGGCUAACUACGUGCCAGCAGCCGCGGUAAUACGUAGGUGGCAAGCGUUGUCCGGAAUUAUUGGGCGUAAAGCGCUCGCAGGCGGUCCUUUAAGUCUGAUGUGAAAUCUCGCGGCUCAACCGCGAACGGUCAUUGGAAACUGGAGGACUUGAGUACAGAAGAGGAGAGUGGAAUUCCACGUGUAGCGGUGAAAUGCGUAGAGAUGUGGAGGAACACCAGUGGCGAAGCGACUCUCU